CCAGACGGCCGGAUGACCGCCUUUCGGACCCUUGACCGGGUCCGGGGGGAGGAAAGUCCGGGCUCCACGGAAACACGGUGCCGGGUAACGCCCGGCGAGGGUGACCUCAGGGAAAGUGCCACAGAAAGUAAACCGCCGGCGCACCCGCAAGGGCCGCCGGUAAGGGUGAAAGGGUGCGGUAAGAGCGCACCGCGCGGCCGGCAACGGCGGCGGCAUGGUAAACCCCACCGGGAGCAAGACCGAAUAGGGGCGGCACGGGUCCUGGCAUGCCAGGGUCCAGGCGUGUUUCCGCGCCGCUGCCCGGGUUGGUCGCGAGAGGCGGCCGGCAACGGACGUCCCAGAUGAAUGGUCAUCCGCCAUUCGGGCCUCGGCCCGGAUGGUGACAGAACCCGGCUUACAGGCCGUCUGGCAUC
rnacentral:RNase_P_RNA from 1 species